rnacentral:rRNA from 1 species
UACGUAGGGGGCUAGCGUUGUCCGGAAUCAUUGGGCGUAAAGCGCGCGUAGGCGGCCCGGUAAGUCCGCUGUAAAAGUCAAAGGCUCAACCUUUGAAUGUCAGUGGAUACUGCCGGGCUAGAGUCCGGAAGAGGCGAGUGGAACUCCUGGUGUAGCGGUGGAAUGCGCAGAUAUCAGGAGGAACACCGGUGGCGAAGGCGGCUUCCUGGUCUGCAACUGACGCUGUGGCGCGAAAGCUAGGGGAGCAAACGGG